rnacentral:rRNA from 2 species
ACGUAGGUUGCAAGCGUUGUCCGGAUUUACUGGGUGUAAAGGGCGUGUAGGCGGAGAUGCAAGUUGGGAGUGAAAUCCAUGGGCUCAACCCAUGAACUGCUCUCAAAACUGUAUCCCUUGAGUAUCGGAGAGGCAAGCGGAAUUCCUAGUGUAGCGGUGAAAUGCGUAGAUAUUAGGAGGAACACCAGUGGCGAAGGCGGCUUGCUGGACGACAACUGACGCUGAGGCGCGAAAGCGUGGGGAGCAAACAG